rnacentral:rRNA from 4 species
CUGACCCCAUGCCGAACUCAGAAGUGAAACGCCGUAGCGCCGAUGGUAGUGUGGGGUCUCCCCAUGCGAGAGUAGGACACUGCCAGGC